UGGGGGAUAUUGCACAAUGGGCGAAAGCCUGAUGCAGCGACGCCGCGUGGGGGAUGAAGGCUUUCGGGUUGUAAACCUCUUUCGCUAUCGAACAAGGCCCGCUUAGGGUGGGUUGAGGGUAGGUGGAGAAGAAGCGCCGGCUAACUACGUGCCAGCAGCCGCGGUAAUACGUAGGGCGCGAGCGUUGUCCGGAAUUAUUGGGCGGACAGGGCUUGUAGGCGGCUCGUUGCGCCUGCUGUGAAAACGCGGGGCUUAACUUCGCGCGUGCAGUGGGUACGGGCAGGCUUGAGUGUGGUAGGGGUGACUGGAAUUCCAGGUGUAGCAGUGGAAUGCGCAGAUAUCUGGAGGAACACCGAUGGCGAAGGCAGGUCACUGGGCCAUUACUGACGCUGAGGAGCGAAAGCAUGGGUAGCGAACAGG
rnacentral:rRNA from 1 species